rnacentral:rRNA from 1 species
UACGAAGGGGGCUAGCGUUGCUCGGAAUCACUGGGCGUAAAGGGUGCGUAGGCGGGUUUUUAAGUCAGAGGUGAAAUCCUGGAGCUCAACUCCAGAACUGCCUUUGAUACUGAAAGUCUUGAGUAUGGGAGAGGUGAGUGGAACUGCGAGUGUAGAGGUGAAAAUUCGUAGAUAUUCGCAAGACACCAGUGGCGAAGGCGGCUCACUGGCCCAUUACUGACGCUGAGGCACGAAAGCGUGGGGAGCAACAGG